AGCCCCCUUCACCUGGGAGAAGCACCACUGGAAGUCGUUACCACCUCCUCCUCCGCCACCUCCUGCCACCCCUGCGGAGACAGAGCGCGUUUGGCUGGUCGGUGCAGCUCAUGUUGGAUAAACUGAAAUUAAGGCCAAAUUCAGAGGUGAUGGAGACACCAAGUUGGUAUCAGGCACAGAGAGGAAUCCCCUUGAGUGGAGGCACAAGGCAUCUCAAUAAAGAACCCAGGACCCAGCUCAUGGAAGGAAAGGGGAGAAGCCACUCUGAUUAGCAAGCACCAGGGAGGGACAACAUAACUAUCUACUAUAUAAGACAGCUGCAGCAAAAUACCCGUUUGUAGAGACUGGUAAUGUUCCUCCCCGAUGUGUUCUUCAACCUCUGAACUAGCUCAAGUUCUUUCUGGGAAAGGGUGCAUAUAAAAACCUGAUACCCCUGUAUCUUUUUCUCUUUGUUCCUUCCAAUGACCUGCUCCAACACAGCUUUGCAACAUCAGAAUGUGAUGAUUUUUUGAAGGCACUGUAUAGUAGGAAGAAAUCCUUUGUCUCUUGAAACAUUACAUCUGUUGGAUUGCUUCUGAAUUUUCUAAUACUGAUGAUUUUCCAAAGUUUUUAUUCAAUAAUUUGAACGCUGGCUUGUCAAGGUUCCUCCCCCACUCUGAACUCUAGGGUACAGAUGUGGGGACCUGCAUGAAAAACCUCCUAAGCUUAUCUUUACCAGCUUAGAUCAAAACUUCCCCAAGGUACAAAAUAUUCCACCCGUCGUCCUUGGAUUGGCCGCUACCACCACCAAACUAAUACUGGUUACUGGGGAAGAGCUGUUUGGACGCGUCUUUCCCCCCAAAAUACUUCCCAAAACCUUGCACCCCACUUCCUGGACAAGGUUUGGUAAAAAGCCUCACCAAUUUGCCUAGGUGACUACAGACCCAGACCCUUGGAUCUUAAGAACAAUGAACAAUCCUCCCAACACUUGCACUCCCCCCUUUCCUGGGAAAUGUUGGAUAAAAAGCCUCACCAAUUUGCAUAGGUGACCACAGACCCAAACCCUUGGAUCUGAGAACAAUGAAAAAGCAUUCAGUUUUCUUACAAGAAGACUUUUAAUAAAAAUAGAAAUAAAUAGAAAUAAAGAAAUCCCCCCUGUAAAAUCAGGAUGGUAGAUAUAGAUUCAUAGAUAUUUAGGCCAGAAGGGACCAUUAUGAUCAUCUAGUCUGACCUCCUGCACAAUGCAGGCCACAGAAUUUCACCCACCACUCCUAAAAAAAAUUACAGGGUAAUUAGAUUCAAAAACAUAGAGAACCCCUCUAGGCAAAACCUUAAGUUACAAAAAAGAUACACAGACAGAAAUAGUUAUUCUAUUCAGCACAAUUCUUUUCUCAGCCAUUUAAAGAAAUCAUAAUCUAACACAUACCUAGCUAGAUUACUUACUAAAGUUCUAAGACUCCAUUCCUGGUCUAUCCCCUGCAGAAACCAGCAUACAGACAGACCCACAGACCCUUUGUUUCUCUCCCUCCUCCCAGCUUUUGAAAGUAUCUUGUCUCCUCAUUGGUCAUUUUGGUCAGGUGCCAGCGAGGUUACCUUUAGCUUCUUAACCCUUUACAGGUGAGAGGAGCUUUCCCCUGGCCAGGAGGGAUUUCAAAGGGGUUUACCCUUCAAAGUUUUUAUUCAAUAAUUUGAACGCUGGCUAUUGUUGCUUUUUUUUGUAUUGUAGAAAGGAGUUACUGAUAUUUUUAUUCACUACUUUAAUCUUAAAUUAGUGAUGUUGAUGUUCUUCUGUUGUGCCAUUUCUUGAUGACUGUAGCCUCAAUGAAUGGUGAUUACUGUUUGUAUAAAGUAGUGCCUAAAACCUGACAGGGUACAUCUUCCAUGCUGUACAUUGCCAUUUAUCAUUGUACUUUAUUUUGUAUUUUUUUCCAGUUUUCAGUGUACAUGACAGUGUUCCUAUCCAAGCCAAUUUGAAUGGUUUUCAAUCAAGGUUUAGCGAGACGCAGUAUAAAUAACUUAUUUUGAUUUUACUAAAGUAUUUCUUCAUCUUCUUGUG